GCUUUUGAACCCUAAGAAGAAGAAGGCCAACCGUCACCUAACUCCAUCUUCACCUUAGAGCCAUCUCACCUCCCUUCAUAGACCUAACCGCCGCACCACCCAUCUCUGACGCCUAUCGCCGCCGCGCCACCACCAAAGAAAAAGGCAGCCACUCCACCCUCAACAAAAACCCGCCGGAAACCUAACACACUCCACCCUUCUCGAUCUACCAACGACCUCACUCUCCCUUUCACUUUGAGAGACAACAACCAAUCUCUCAUUUUCCAAAAUGAAAGAAACGACAAAAAACAGAAGGGGAAUGGGAUUUGGAAAACGAAACAGAGCAGAGAACAGACUACCCUAGAGCUAAUGGCCGCACUCCCUUAUGUUUGAGACUCUAAUCUCUUUGUUUUUCACGCCUCAUCAACGACUCCCAUACCCCUAUUCUUAUCUUCUCCCAUAUCUCUCUCUCUUUCCGUAGCUACUGCCGUCGCCAUCAUUUAAGCCGCCGUUGCCAAAAAUCUGCCGCUCACAUCAUUUUGGUCGAGUUAAAGAGGUCGAAUUCGAGUUCGCCGGUGAGUUUCAGUUCGUUGGUCAUGGUUGAAUUUUCUGAUUCUCGAUUCAGUGUGGAUUCAGUCCAAUUUCUCAGAAGAAAAUUAUCAUUAAAGGUCUAAUUCUCUUUCUUUUUUUGUGCAUUUUUAUGUUACAACUUUGCUGUUGAUUGCUUGACUUUGCAAAUUGAUUUUGUGGCUGAUAUUAUAAUUUGUAUGUUAGUAGUAUGUUCUUGACAGAAUAAUUGUUAUGCUUUAAAUCACUUAUUCUUUAGUUAACAUAAGAAAUGAAUUGGAUUUGGAUUAUGGGUUUAGUUAAAAAGUUGAAAUUGAAGAUGAUGCUAUCUUGAAGACAGGGAAGUGAUUUAAACUUAAGAAUAUUUUUGAUUAAUUUUCUUGUUUGAUUUUAUUCUAUUAAUGGCCAUGGGGUCGGGACAUAAAGGAGUAGAAUUGAAAUUUGUGUAUUACAUGUUUACUACUUUAUUUUAUUUUGACCGCUAGUAGCAUGCUUAGGACGACCACACUAGGGUAGGCAAAUUUUAGGUCUCGUCUUUUAUUUCAUUCGAGGUGAGAGCUUGUUCCCUUUAGUCUAUAUUUAGGAGAAUGCCCCGUAGAUAUUGUAUAUAGUAUUAUCCGGGGGUAUGCCCCGUAAUGAAUGUAAUUGAAGGCCGUGACGGACAUCGUGGAAUGAGCAUAGUGUAGACUCUUUGUAUUUUUAUCUUAUUUUAUUUAGAUGGGGACGACCUCGAGCCUCUUGUGUGUUUUUGCCUUAGUCUGAGUAUUCUUUAAAGCCAACUAGAUCAAGUACACAAUCGUGACUUUCACGGGACUUGGGGAAUGCCUAACACCUUCUACCCAAGUCAAAUAAAUCCCCUUGUCAUGAAUAUUUGGUGCAGACUAUGUUUAGAGUCAAAUGUGUUUUGAAGAAAAUUUUUUAUUUUAAAAACGGUGACUUGGCACACCGAAACGAAAUAUCAGGUGGCGACUCUGAUAAAAUCCUUCGAAACACAAAACUCUUGUCACUUUUAAUUUAAAAACCCUUUUAAGCUUCAAAAUUUUUUACUACUUUAAAGGGGUUAGUGAGGUGAAAAAGGGGUGUGACAGAUUUGGCGACUUUGCUAGGGAGUUGCAGGUUCGAACGACACUUGAUCUUGUUGGAUUUUUAGAAUAUUCGGAUGAGGUUUUUACGCUUUUUUAUUUUCUUUAUGUGAUUUUUAUUUUGUUUAUGUUGUUUUAUUAUUUGCUAGUUGUUUUAUGUGUUUACAGUUUUUCUUUUAUAUGUUGCUGCUUUAUAACUGUCAUCAUAUGUCAAUUCUUUCUGCAACAAGUCUCGUAGUAUGUGUUGCGUACACAAACUCUUUAUUGAGUCACCCUUAUUAUAGGAGGAGGCCGUUUGAUGUAUGGAGUGGGUGAAAAGCUUGAGCAGCCACUAUCGACCAUACGCUCCCCCGAAUUGCCUUGUUAGUGAACCCCAAAACGUAGGUCAGCCUUUAGGUCAUUUUUAUUUGCAUCAUAUCAUUUAGACCUACCAAGGCUCGGUCCCAGGCACCGUGUCCCUUUGUAGGAGGCCUAUCCAAAUUAUAUCAAAAUGGGUCAGUGGCCCAAAAAGACAUUUAAUCAUCCCUAUGUGUUACAUGUUGUAUUCUUUAAGAGUAAAAGGUGUCAUUUGGCGGAUCAAUAAUGGUUAAGGGUAAAUGAGAAAGAAAAGAGGGUGAAGUGUAAAAAUGAAUCAAGCAGGGCCCAUUUAUAUUUUUCUUUCACAAUUUUUUUUCAAGAAAAAGACCAAAAAAAUGAAAAUGAAAAAUCCAAAAAGAUUUUGCACAUUCCCAUCAUUUUUCAAAAAGACAAAAAAUAUGUUUUCUCCAAAUCGGUUGUUUUUUCAAAAUUCUCUCCCAUAUCCAAUCUUCCCGAACUAUGCAUACCUGAUUCUCGUCUUUCGGGACGGGAUACGUAGGCAGCCCAUAUAGGGCCUGGUCUUCCUAUUGAGUCUUAGGUUCUUGGCUUCAGGAAGUCAUAGCCAAAUCUUGCAUGUCUAGCCACGUUUGGCCAUAUUGAUCAUUUUGCAAAAUAGUGAUAUUUUCUCAAACUGGAUUAUUAUUCCAUGUUCCGUAAGUCCACAACAAGGCGUUCUCUCAAUUUUAAGGUCCAUUCCUGUUGAAUUUGCAUGUCUAGUCACUUUUGCCCACAUCAUCCAUUCUUGCAAAAUAGGGUCAUUUUCGCGAAAGUGGUUUAGCGACCCAUGUAUUACAAUAUUGAGUCCACAACUAGGUGUCAUAUUACUUUAAGACCGUCUUUAUUGAAUUUUCAUCUUUAGCCACGUUUGUCCAUAUCGGCCAUUUGCAAAAUGGGUCAUUUUUGCAAAGUAAUUUCUAGGGCCAUGAUUAUUAGAAAUUUGAAGCCAUAUAAACCUUAGUGACGCAUUCCAUGUAUUAUAGGUCACCUUUGUUGAGUUUGCACUAAUAGCCACCCUUGGCCACGUAGGUCAUUUUGCAAAAAUAGCCCAAUCAUGUCUUGCAUGUGUCCAAUAGGAGGUGUUGUUGCGUUGCAUAGUGUCUUGAGUCACUAACCUUAUUUAAUCUUAUUCUUCUCAUUCAGGUAUGGAUCCAUUUGUCAGUGCUUGAGCAUGACAGACGCCCCAGGACCAUCCAGUCAGGACCACUACAUUUAGGAGUUGCUUGAAGAGACUUUUUAUAUUUUUGAGUAUGUUUUCAUGUUUCUUUUACUUUCUAGUCUUGGUUAUUGUACUUCCUGUUUUGUAUUUGAAAACAAAAAAAGGUUUAUAAAUGGAAAAUCUAAAAAUAUUUUUAUUUUUAGUUUAUUUUGUCCAUUACUUUUCCAGAACUACGCUUGAUCUUAUUCAUGUGGAACAUGAUAUGUAGGCAACCUAUAUAGGAUUCGAUCGAAUCAUUUUUUUAAAAUUAAAAACAAAUAUGAAGUUAUAGAAUGUGAUACAUGAGAGGAAAGAAAAGAGUGAUAAUUAGAAAGAAAAGAGAGAGAGGAAAAUGAGCAAGCCAAGAAGUGCUAGAAAAGAAAGAAAAAAGAAGAUUGAAAUGAACAAAAUUGGGAUGAUGCCAAGUGACCUUGUGACCCUCAAAGUCACUGUAGAACUGUUCAUUGUUGUUAGGUGCAUUGCACACAAUGUGAUAUUUUUAUCUGAUAAAUGCCCUAACGCUAACAUGUUGGCUUUGUUUUGCUCCUUUUUGUUAGUUUGUGGAGUCGAAAUUUGAAUUGAAAGAGGAGGUCCAAAGUUUGAAAUAGCAGAUGGCAGAAAUGUAUCAGGCUUGGAUUAGGGGGAAUCCUCCACCUUUAUUCCCCACUAAAUACACUGAAAACCCUACAACUAUCCCACCACUAUCACAAGACCAGGUUCCCAUUAUUGUUGAUCUUCCCCCUCAACAUGCACCAGACUUUACCCCUUACCACAACUACCCUGACACCUCAUCCCAAACUUUCCAUGCUCCACCAGCCAAAACAACCUCAUACCCUGCUCCGACAUCCACUCCUAUUUUUGUAGCCCCUCCAUAAUCUACCCUCCAUCGAUCUUCUAGUGAACAUGCAUUCAAAGCUCUCGAUGCCUAAUACUAUGCUCUAGAACCAACCUUCAAGGUCUCAGAUCCUUAUUGUUACACCCGUCACUUUGAGCCUCCUGUUGAAACCGAGAAGCCAUCUAAGAACGUGGAGCAAGAUGAGAUAUUCAGUAAAGUGAAGAGUUUAGAGCAAUCUUUGAGGAACAUGCAAGGGAUAGGAAGCCAAGUAAGUGUGGCUUACAAGGAUUUGUGCUUGUUUCCUGAUGUCUAACUUCCCACUGAGUUCAAGAUGCCAAAGUUUGAUUUGUAUGACGGACAUGGAGAUCUCGUGGCCCAUUUGAGAGGUUACUGUAGUAAGAUAAGAGGCACCGUUGGAAAGGACAAAUUAUUGAUGGUCUAUUUCAGUUUGAGUCUGAGCGAGGCAGCUCUAGAAUGGUACACCCGCCAAGAUGCUAGCAAGUGGUAUACAUGGGACGAUAUGGCUUAGGCCUUUGGCCAACACUUUCAGUACAAUAUAGAAAUUGUCCCGGAUCGCAUGUCCCUCACCAAGAUGGAAACGAAGCCUAAUGAAAGCUUUAGGGAAUACAUGCUCAGAUGGAGAGAGCAAGCUGCCAGAGUCAAUCCCCCGAUGGAAAAAGACGAGAUGGUCGAGUACUUUCUUCAAGCUCAAGAGCCUACUUACUUUGGGCAUUUGAUCUCGGCUCUGCAUAAGCCUUUUAAUAAUGUGGUAAAAAUGGGAGAAAUGGUAGAAGAUGGGCUGAAGUCAAGCAAGAUCAUGAGCUAUUCUACCUUAAAAUCCACAACACAAGCAAUUCAGAAUGACAUAUGAAGCUUGCUUGAACAUGAUGAUAUUUCCAUGGUUGUCUCACAAUCACAACAUGACCCAAUAGUUUUGCCUCACCAAUAUACUCAGUCAUGACCCUAACCCCAACCCCAACCCUAUCCCCGAGCUUCACAUAAUCCACCCCAGUAUUAUCCUUCGAACAAUGUUCGGUCAUCUGUCCAACCACUGGGUCACUCCUUGUGGCAAGCACCAGCAUCGCAUAACACUCUUUCACCUUUAAAACAUUUUUGAGCACCCAACAACCCUAGAAAAUAGGGGCAUGGAGGGGAACAAAACCACUGGGUCACUCCUUAUGGCAAGCACCAGCAUCGCAUAACACUCUUUCGCCUUCACAACAUUUUCGAGCACCCAACAACCUUAGAAAAUAAGGGCAUAGAGGGAAAAAGGCAAAGAAAUAGUUUCAUGCCAAUCAGGGAAUCCUACACAAGCUUAUUUGAAAGGUUAAAACAUUCUGGCCUGAUUAAUCCGCUCCUCGGCAUACUCUGGACCCAUAUGCAAAAGGUUUUGAUCCUACUGUACGAUGUAUGUACCCCUUUAAUGUCCAGGGCAUAACAUUAAAGAUUGUCGUGCUUUAAAAAGGAAAAUAGAAAGAAUGAUUCAAGAAGGGAUAAUUGUGGUCCAAGGAAGUAAUACCCAAGUGUCACACAUAAUCCUCUACAGGUACAUAACAACACAACAUCUCUUAGGUGGUCAGUCGUUAAUUCAACAAUCCAUGCUAAGGAAGGGUUAGUCAAAGGAGUUAAUAAGCCACUUGGUGAAGACAAUGUGAUUGAAAUUGGUGAAGGUCCCAGUAAUUUUGAUGUGCAACUCAUUGACUAAGAUCUCGAGCUUGGUAAUUAGAAAACACCUCCUUUCCUCGCUAGAAUGGAGUCUUGGUAGUUUAUUCUGUCAUCUUUUCUGCUAUCUAGGUUAUUUAUGGAUUGUAAUCCAGAUUUCAUCUUGUUUAUUUUGGUGAUUCAAAUCCUUCUAUCCUCUUUUGCCUAUCUCUACGAGUCUUGUUAAUUAGUUCUGUUCUCUAAGUCUAUCAUCUAGGGUUGUUUCGGGGCUUUAAUCAAGAUUUUAUUCUGCUGUUCAAAUCCUUCUGUCCUUUGGUCAAAUGAGAUUUUUGUUUUUUGUUAUUUCUAGUCUUUAUUACUUUUUUUUCUUCUUCUUAUAUAUAGCACUCUUCAUGCCAGUUCCAGUGACAUGGCAUGCAUGUAGAGUUUUUAGCCAGAUCUUGAAAGCUAGUCUAAUCACGGAAUAACGAAACACAGUUUUGAAUAUGAUAAAAGAUGCGUUUGAGGAAAUAAAUGAAGAUUCACGCAUUCUAAGAUAACCUAAAACUUGAAUUGAGUGAAACUGAAGCAGUUAGUCUGGAAAUCAAGAGGUUGAUAAGAGCAUACAACAAGGAAAUGUCUCUCAAGUAGUUUGAGGUAUAUCAGUCAGUGUUGAAAUACAUAUUUUCACAUCAAAAUAAGGUUGAGUUAAGUCUUAUCCAGACUGACAAGGAUCAGCCAUUAGGACAAAGGUAUUGUCCAUUGGCACUUUGUGUUUGUGUUGAUACCAUCAAGAGAUAUUGUGCAUGGUUCUUCUGCUUAUUUGCAAUUGCAUGAUUUGCACUUGGAUUUCUCAAGAUUUGGUAUGACGAAGGCAUAUUAUUUUGUUACCCCAAACACUUUUAUCCUUCACUACCUUUUUGAGCCUUAAUUCAUUUUCUUUCAUACCCCUCUUUUGGAAUUAGAAAUAGAUUUAGAAAAGAGAAAGAAAAAAAAUAAAAAUAAAAAGUAAAAGAAAAAAAUUCAUAAAGUAUUUGUCGGAACUAUGUUCGACCUGAUUCCUUUGAAGGAUACGUAGGCAACCUUACUAUGAGGUUUGGUCCUAACAAAAUAAAAAUUUAAAAUUCCCCAGACUCAAUGAAACUGGGGCAGAAGUUUUAGUUUUGUAAAUAGAUCUGAUUCCAAAAGUUGUAAGUUAAAACCCCGUUCAUUUUAGUUGUUUUGAGUCUUUAUAACACCCUUUCUUUUGAACCCUAUCCAAAAGCCUACAUUACGGUCCAAAGAAAGACCUUCCGACCAAUCUUUGACGAUGCCAAGUCUAGUGUGUGGUAAAGGUAUGACCUUCUUGAAUCAUGGGCAAUACCUUGUUCUCAGUACAAAGAGGCAAAACGAUAAAAAUGAGAGAGUCUUAUCGGUGAAAACCCUCACGGGCACCAUAAGGCGACAGUGAGUUGAGAAAAGAAAAAAUAAGAAAGGUUUGAUGGUGAAAACCCUUCAGGGCUCUACAAGUUGAUUGAGUAUCGUAAAUUAGAUAGGACAAUUGGCGCGUUGAAGUACAAUUUCAAAGCUUAGAGAUAUGACAAGAGUUGAAGAUUAGACUUGCUUAAUAGAUCAGACCGCUUAAUCCAAAAUGCAUGUCAUGAUUAGUGGGGUUGGUCUUCAAAUCAAAUUGGUUUCUACUUUGUUCUUUUUCCUGGAUGAAAAUUUUCUUAUUAAAUACCAUCUCUUCUCAUUCUUCCCCUUAUGUUGUUCCUCUUGUUACGAUUUAGUCCCUUUUAAGACUAUUUUUGUCUAAAUAAUUGAGAAAUAAUUUCAAAAUCUGCUACCAGCUUUUUAAUUACACAAAGCAAAGUCCGACAAGCACAUCAAUGUGGUGUAAGACAUGGGGAAUAUUGUGUGCACUGAGUUGAUGACAAUAGAUGUUCUUUGGGAUUCAUGUAAAAGGAAAUGAUUCGGUGAAUGUUAGAAUACGAGUGCAAUGCAUCGAGUAUAAGGUAUUGGACUUGAAAAGGAAUAUCUCUUGUGAUAAGUGUUGUCCAGAAAAGUAGUUGGCUGAUAAGAAGUACUGUCUUCCAAGCUGAAAUCAAAGUUGAUCAUGACAAGUGCAAGAGAAAUCGCCCUCGUAGUUAAGGCCACAAACUAACCACCAUGUUUUAAAUUCACAAGUUUUCUUUGUAUGAAACAUGGAUGAAGGCUAUGUUCAUAUCAAAGCUUGGAAGCCUGAAUUUUUCUGGUGUAAUGCCCCAAUUCUGCUUACGCAAAGGCUAUUGAGAAGAUCAUACCUCCUAGGCAUUUUCCCUAGUUGAGAAUAAUUAUACCUCCUAGGCAUAUCCCUAGUUGAGAGGAAUCUUUGGCUUUCUUUAAGUUCAAGAGUCUCGCCCAGAAAAUAGGGUUGCAUCUUAGUCUUUCCUAAGCUAUCAGUUCAAUUUCCUUAAGUUGUUAAUCUUUAGCUUUCCUUGAGUUCAGGAGUCCCGCCUGGAGAAUAUGGUCAAUUUUUGUUUCCUUAAGGUAUUAAUCUUUAGCAUUCCUUGAGUUCAGGGGUCCCACAUGGAGAAUAGGGUUAGUUUUCAAUUUCGUUAAGUUGGUAAUUAUUAGUUUUCCUUGAGUUUAGGGGUCCCACUUGGAGAAUAGGGUCAUUUUUUACUUUAGUCAAGCUUAGUUUAUAGUUUUCCUCAAGCUCAGUUUCACAUCUAGGAGACGCAUUUCCUAGUCUGAGUCUUUCUUGUUAUACUUUUUAGGAGACGUACUUCCUAAAUUGAUAUUUCACCCCUAGGAGAUGUACUUCCUAGUUUGGGUCAUUUAAGUUCAUCCCUAGGAGACACACGUCCUAGUUUGAGUCAUUGAGAUUUUACCCCUAGGAAAUGCACUUCCUAAUCGGGGUCUUUCAAGUUAUAUUUUUAGGAGACGCACUUCCUAAACUGAGAUUUUACCCCUAGGAGAUGCACUUCCUAGUCUGGGUCUUUUAGGUUAUACUUUUUAGGAGAUGCACUUCCUAAAUUGAGAUUCCACCUCUAGGCAACGCACUUCCUAGUUUUGGUCGUUUAAGGUUUAAGUUCAUCCAGGAGACGCACUUCCUAGUUUGAGUCAUUCAUGCCUCACCUCUAGGAGACACACUUCCUACUUUGAUUCAUUCAAGUUUCACCAUAGGAGAUGCACUUCCUAGUUUGGGUUAUUCAAGUUUUAUCCCUAGGAGACAUAUUUUGUAGUUUAGUUAUUCUAAUUUCACCCCAAAGGAGACACACUUUCUAGUUUGGUUAUUCUAAUUUCACCCCAAAGAAGACGCACUUCCUAGUAUGGGUCUUUCAAAUUUUAUUUUAGGAGACGCAUUUCCUAAUUUUAGGUUACAAAUAUCACCCCUAAGAGAUGCACUUCCUAGUUUGGGUUAUUCAAGUUUCAUCCCCAGGAGACACACUUCCUAGUUUGAGUCAUUCCUUUUUAUACUUUUUUAGGGGAUGCACUUCCUUUUCAAAGUUUGUUAAUUUUACUCUUAGGGGAUGCACUUCCUAGUUUAUGUUUUUUUAGUUUUACUCACAGGAGACGCACAUCCUAGUCGAGUCUUUGGUUUUACUCUCAUCAUCGCAGCCUUCAUCAAUAGAAUAUGUGAUUUACAGUUUUGCUAAAAACUCACAAAUUUUUUCAGUGCAAACUGGGGUAGAAAAUUUUGUUCGUUUUGUUGGUUUUGAUUGCAGGCACCAACCUGGAGAACGAGGGUCGAUAUUUCAGAAAUUGGUUUCAAGGUUCAAAUCAGUAACAAGCGCCCACCUGGAGAAUGAGGGAAUUCAAUUCUUUUCAGAUUUAUUUCAAGUUUCAAGUCGAUAGAAGGCGCCCACCUGGAGAACGAGGGAAUUCAUUUCAGAGUUAAAUUCAAGUUUCGAGUCAGUAGCAAGCGCCCACCUGGAGAACGAGAGAAUUCAUUUUAGAGUUAAAUUCAAGCUUCAAGUCAGUAGCAAGCAUCCACCUGGAGAAUGAGGGAAUUCAUUUUAAAGCCAUUUCAAGUUUCAAUUUAGUAGCAGGCGCUCACCCGGAGAACAAGGAAAUUCAUUUCAAAGACAAUCCAAGUUAGACGUAGCAGAAGUUCGCCUCAAGGAUGCGAGUCAACAGUUCGAGAUGCACGGCAAGACCGAGAAAAGAUUCAAGACAGAAGAGUUGACAGGAUUUUGUGGUUUUCUUGUAAUUUUUAUCUUAUUUGGUUUUAUUUUGAUGUCUUGACAGGAACCACGGACCGGAACCACGACGAUACUUCAAUCGACUCUCUCCACCUCGUUAUCCUUCUCCACUCUUUUUACUUCUGAACUAUACGUGACCUGAUUCCUUUAUAGCCAAGAAUAUGUAGGCAACUCAGAUAACAGAGUUCGGUCACAAUCUUUUUAUCCAUCUUUAUUUUAUUUUGAAUAAGUGUCAGGUCAGAAAUUAAUUACGUUACUUACUUAAUUAUUUGCUAAAAAACUUUUCGAGUUUUCAAGAAAAUAGGGGCAGGUGUAAGCACGUAAUUUUUGACCCGUACUAUUUUUAAAGUUAGUGUUUCUAAAAUAUUUACUUAUUUUUAUUUUUUCGUAGGAUUUUAGUCUACUUUUACUUUAAUUUAAAUUUAGAAUAUGAAUUUGAAAACAUAAAAAAUAGUUUCAUCUUUUCUCUUAUUUUUAUUUAAUUAAGUUAUUAGUAUUUUUGUAGUGAUAUUAUUUUAAGAAUGAAUUUUUGGAUUAGUUCUUAUUUUUAUGUCACAAGACCAACAUUUUGAGCCAAAUCAGGCCAAAUUUUAGGCCUAAAUUCGGAGCCCACUUCUUCCCUAACCCAGUAGCCCAACUCCCCUUAAACCCUAGCCUUUUAUUUUAUUUAAUCCAAUGGUCCAUAUUAACCCCCAAAUCCCAUAUAGCUUGAUCUUUAAAAUAAAAAAGACCUAGGCUUUUGAACCCUAAGAAGAAGGAGGUCAGCCGUCACCUAACCCCCCAUCUUCACCUUAGAGCCAUCUCACCUCCUUUCAUAGAUCCAGCCACCACACCAACCUUCUCUGCCUAUCGCCGCUGCGCCACCACUAAAGAAAAAAAGGCAGUCACUCCACCCUCAACAAAAACUCACCGAAAACCUAGCACACCCCACCCUUCUUGAUAUCCCAACGAUCCCACUCUCCCUUUCACUUUGAGAGAACACAACCAAUCUCUCAUCUCCCAAAAUUGAAAGAAACGGCAAAAAACAGAAGGGGAAGGGGAUUUGGAAAAUGAAACAGAGAAGAGAACAGACUACCCUAGAGCUAACAGCCGCACUCCCUAAAGUUUGAGACUCUAAUCUCUCUAUUUCUCACGUCUCAUCAGUGACUUCCAUACCCCUAUUCUCAUUUCCCCCAUAUCUCUCUCCCUUUCCGUAGCUACUGUCGUCGCCAUCAUUUAAGCCAUGGUCACCGAAAAUCUGUCGCUCGCCUCAUUUUGGUCAAGUUAAAGAGGUCGAAUUCGAUUUCGCUAGCGAGUUUCAGUUCGUUGGGCUUGGUAGAGUUUUUUUAUUCUCGAUUCAGUGUGAAUUCAUUCCAAUUUUUCAGAAAAAAAUUAUCAUUAAAGGUCUAAUUCUCUUUUGUUUUUUGUGCAUUUUUAUGUUAUAACUUUGUUGUUGAUUGCUUGACUUUGCACAUUGAUUUUGCGGCUGAUAUUAUAAAUUGUAUGUUAGUAUGUUCUUGGCAGAAUAGUUGUUAUGCUUUGAAUCACUUAUUCUUUAGUUGAGAGCACAAGAAAUGAAUUGGAUUUGGGUUAUAGGUUUAGGUAAAAAGUUGAAAUUGAAGAUGAUGCUAUCUUGAAGACAUGGAAGUAAUUUGAACUUAAUAAUGAUUUUGAUUAAUUUUCUUGUUUGAUUUUAUUCUAUUAAUGGUCAUGGGAUCGGGACUAAAAGGAGCAGAAUUGAAAUUUGAAUAUUACAUGUUCACUACUUUAUUAUUUUAUUUUGACCGCUAGUAGUAUGCUUAGGCCGACUACACUUGGGUAGACGACUUUUAGGUCUCGUCUUUUAUUUCAUUCGAGCUGAG
rnacentral:lncRNA from 1 species